AGUGAACGCUGGCGGUAGGCCUAACACAUGCAAGUCGAACGGCAGCACAGUAAGAGCUUGCUCUUACGGGUGGCGAGUGGCGGACGGGUGAGGAAUACAUCGGAAUCUACUUUUUCGUGGGGGAUAACGUAGGGAAACUUACGCUAAUACCGCAUACGACCUACGGGUGAAAGCAGGGGAUCUUCGGACCUUGCGCGAUUGAAUGAGCCGAUGUCGGAUUAGCCAGUUGGCGGGGUAAAGGCCCACCAAGGCGACGAUCCGUAGCUGGUCUGAGAGGAUGAUCAGCCACACUGGAACUGAGACACGGUCCAGACUCCUACGGGAGGCAGCAGUGGGGAAUAUUGGACAAUGGGCGCAAGCCUGAUCCAGCCAUACCGCGUGGGUGAAGAAGGCCUUCGGGUUGUAAAGCCCUUUUGUUGGGAAAGAAAAGCAGCAGGUUAAUACCCCGCUGUUCUGACGGUACCCAAAGAAUAAGCACCGGCUAACGUCGUG
rnacentral:rRNA from 1 species